rnacentral:rRNA from 1 species
UACGUAGGGUGCAAGCGUUGUCCGGAAUUAUUGGGCGUAAAGAGCUCGUAGGCGGUCUGCCGCGUCGGAUGUGAAAAUCCAGGGCUCAACCCUGGACCUGCAUUCGAUACGGGCAGACUAGAGUUCGGUAGGGGAGACUGGAAUUCCUGGUGUAGCGGUGAAAUGCACAGAUAUCAGGAGGAACACCGAUGGCGAAGGCAGGUCUCUGGGCCGCAACUGACGCUGAGGAGCGAAAGCAUGGGGAGCGAACAGG